UACGAAGGGUGCAAGCGUUAAUCGGAAUUACUGGGCGUAAAGCGUGCGUAGGCGGUUUCUUAAGUCUGCUGUGAAAGCCCCGGGCUCAACCUGGGAAUGGCGAUGGUGACUGCAAGGCUAGAGUUUGGCAGAGGGGGGUAGAAUUCCACGUGUAGCAGUGAAAUGCGUAGAUAUGUGGAGGAACACCGAUGGCGAAGGCAGCCCCCUGGGUCAAAACUGACGCUCAUGCACGAAAGCGUGGGGAGCAAACAGG
rnacentral:rRNA from 1 species